AUUAACUGCAGGGGGAGCCUUGAGCUGAGAUUAGUGUUUUUUAACGCUUAACCCUUUGGACCUGAUCUGGUUAGUACCAGUGUAGGAAUUGCAGCCUAUCGAGGAU
rnacentral:ncRNA from 2 species